AAUUUCUAAUUCGUGCCUGGGCACCCUCUGGUCAUACGCGGUGCUCCCUUCUCGUGAGCGUCGGAUCUUAUCGUACGGCUCACGCGAAACCACAGAACAGUCCAGGAAAAACAACACCUACCCCUUAUCCAUUUCCUCUACAGUACCGUUUUCUGGUUCGUCGCUCCAGAUCUUCCCCACUCCCCUGUCCCCUCUCCUCUCUCGUCCCACAUCGAUCUCUCCUCGGAAUCCAUGGCAAAAUCAUACUCAUCGGCGGUGAGAGGUCUGGCAGAAACAGCGGGAUGGGUGUGCUGUUCGUGGCGGCAGUAGCGGGUGGAGCGUUGAAGGCUCGGACGUGCAGAUCGAAUCCCCCGAUGGGGUUGCCGUGGUGAGAGGGGGUCGUUCGGUGACGCGCCCCCAUGAAUCGCCGCUUCCGAAGUCGGCGACUUGUAGCGAGAUGUCCGGUGAAGGAGCAUCGGCAGUGCGGCCUCACGAAUCGACGCGUCCAAGGUGGGGCGUCCGACUUGAGAGGGGCAGUGAAGGAGUAUCGGCGGCGCAGCUCCGAUCUGACGCAUACAAGGCGGGUGGAUCGUAUGGGAGGAGUCGUUGGUACUGCGUGGCAAGCACCUUUGUUCGUCUGUCGAUUUUUCAUGCUGGUGAGUGUUUCAGUUUGGUCGCACCCCCUCCUCCUCCAUUGUUUGUUUCUGCGAUUGCUGUUCGUUUUGAUGUGAUUUCACGCUGGAUUCUCCCUAAAGUUUGUUCAGUUCUUCUUCAUAAGUUAUCCAUGUAUAUUCAGUAUGAGCUAGGCACGCUGGUGGCCAUGGGGCUUCAGUUCAUCUUCGUAAGUUGUAUUUUGUUUGUAGAAUAUCCAGUAGUGCUUAUUUGGUUCAGUUUUUACAUGUACAGAACCCAACCACAUUAUACAGGAUGUAAUUUAAGGUGUGGAAUUACAUAGUAGGGUUUUCUCUGAUGAUUUUUUGUUCAAAUUAGUAUGUUAUCUGUACAAAUUUGUGUGAAGAAACCAUGCCAACAAAGGGUUUCUAUCCAUUUUUCUGGAUGUAUUUUUUCAUGAUUAAGCUGUGUUGUGGAUGUGGAAAUCCAACUAACUCAAUAUUACUGAUUGUAUUUCUUCUUGUACACACGGUAUCUAGGAUUUUAUCACAUGAUUUAUAUUAUUAUAACGGAUGCAACAUUCUCUUAACUUGCUCAAGACUGGGCAUAUAUUUGCACCCGUAGGAUGUAAAAAAAUUAAUCAGUUGUGUACAUUUGUGAGAUUACUGUGUAAUUUUUAGGAUGUAAAUUAGGCAAUUAAAUAAAUCAUGUCCCUGUAUGUUUCAUACUAUGGGAUGUCUACAAGCUAAACCAACUAAUGGCGGUUUACAUGUCGACUGAAAAUGGACUAAAGGGAAAGUACAUGCUGCCUUUUGUAUAUCAGUAUAUGUAUGCAUCAGGUUUGACGUUCUUGGUUCAGAAGCUGGUGUGAACCUUUUUCUUUUCCGGCACAUUACAUGGAGUGGUUCUGCAAAUUGUGCAAACUUCUGUCAUUUCCCUACCUUUUUGUGAUUCUGCUAUGAUGGAUCAUGGUACUGUUGCAUGAGAUUUAGUUCUUACAUGCAUGGAUUAUAAACAGAUUAUGCAAAAAUUACCAUCUUCAUCUAAAAUAUGUUGUGUCAGCAUGUAAGCUUGUUCAGAAACUACAAACUAGAUGAUUCAAUCCUGUUUGCCAUCCUUUUAUUACAUGCGGGGCUUUAAGGGGAUGUUGCUGAUGCUAAAUCCGUUUAUGCUGCACUUAGUUCUCUACUUGGCACUCUUGUAAUCACCUCUUUUUCUGGCUGUAUUUUAAUCAUUUAGGACCUUGGGAAAUGUACUAUCGUCCUAGUCGAAUGGAUGUAGUUUUGCAAAGUGCGCUGAUGCAUUCAUAAGAGAACAUGAAGCGUAAGUUCAUCUGAAAUACUUUGUGGUAAUACUGAUACUUGUAAUCUUAUGCUGAUAAAAAAAUGUUUAUUAGACAUUAAGUUAUGCAUGUAAUUAUAUAACCUUAUGCCAUGCUAUUUCAUUGUUGUACAAAUCAAUCAUCUAUGCGCCUCAAGUUGAUUGUUCAGUUCACGGUGGUGCUGAUUGUAUCUCGAGUUCACGGUGGUGCCUCCUCUAGUAAGGUUGUUCUCUUUGAGCACUCAUGUUUGUGCUUGUCUAGUAGUCUGGGCGAUAGUCAUUUUUUUGUAGUCAGGGUGGUACUUGUACAGGUCCCAGUUUAUAUAUGACUUCAGUAUCUCUGUAUUUAGAGUAUACAGUAGGUUUAUUAUGUAGUAAUCUAUGCAAUUUGUCUCAAUUAGUUACAUACAUGUAUUCUAUUGUAAUUCUUCUGGUUUUUUAAUAAUAAUUAUGGGAUGGGGUGUUACUGUAUAAUAUACUACUCUCUCCGAUGCCUUUUGAUUAACUUGGAUUUAGUAAAACUUUGUACUAACUCCGAGUCAAUUAAUAGGGAUCGGAGGGAGUAUGCAAUUUUUGAGUAAUAAAUAUAUCCUGCCCAUAUGUUUGUAGUAUAAGUUUCACUCAUAGGAUGUAUUUUCUCGGGUUAUUAUCGAGCAGCGGUCUCAAGGCAGGGCCAUGCUGGGAUGCUAGGGCAGAGGAGGAUCAUCGGCAAUGCAGUCCUUCAUCCAAACAGCCUUGCUGUUCUCUUUGAUUUGUUUCCGUUCCUGCAAGCAAAUGUGGUCCUCAUGUAAGACAUGGAUCUGCACGAUGAUACUAUGAUUAGCCCCAAGAUUUGUUACAUGCAGGCACUUCUAGAUAUGUGUAACAGUCUGGUGGUACGGCUAUGCCAAACCUUGGGGAUAGUUAAUCCUGAGCUUAAUUAGGGGUAGAAGAUUUACACAACAGGAGUAAAGUUUAGCUUCGUCAGGUUUUUGUACAACACAUUGGAUGGAUCUUUGUUUGCCCUGCUUUUCCUUUUCCGUUUGCUUAAUUGCAUUUAAUUACUGGUCUAAAAAUCGUUAUGAUUUGGAUUGGCAUGUAGUACAAGCUUGACCUUUAACCACAUUGGUGGCAGGCUGGAACUUUGGACCAUUUGGUCUGGAUUUGUGGCCCUUUUUUUCCGCCCUUGUCUUCCCUUCAGCUGGAAAAUGGUCAUGUACCUUUCUGGUACGUGUCGCUGUCAAUCCUGGUCCCGCUUUCCAUUUUUGGAAAGUGUCGCUAUCAGAGCUGGUCCCGCAUUCCAUUUUGGGGAAGUUUUUAGUUCAGACAAGGAGAGCAUUGCGGUAGACUAUCCGGUGCCUGGGCACCGUGUAGCAUAGUCCAUUCAGAAUUCGUUUACUUUUCUCCACAUGCCUUACAACGUGAAUGUCUUGUCUCUUAUAGAUACACACGCUUACAAGUGGCCCUUGGCACACACACGACAAGUCCAGCGACUCUCAACACAUUUUGCAUCUCUUCCACUGACAGCCAGGCCACGUUUAGCUCACCAGCUCAGCCAGCUGUCAUCUCAUGGUCCACCGACUCCAGAGUUGAUGGAGGAGAAGGUUUGGUUCAGCUAGCAGUCUGCCAUGUCUGCAUUUGGUUCGCUCAUUCACAGGUCCACACAACACAUCCCUCACCACUUUCCCAUCUCCAGUAGCGACCUCAGCAUGAUGGAUGCCAACCUUCUUCCAACCGAUCCACAAGUGAAAAUUUCAUAUCUCCAUUAUGGAAGGUGCAGCUUUCAUAUUUUUUCUAAAGCCUUUGUAAUCCCAGCUCUACUCUAUUUUUAUCCAAGUUUAUCUUCAAAUCCUUUUGCACCUUUGUACGGAAUUGCAGAAUUACUCUGUUUUCCCUAAUAUAUUAAUCCAAUUUGUAGGGUCACAAAGCAAAUUUCACUCAAACACUCAAUUCGGUCUUCCCCUAAAGAGGGAAACGCAUGGAAAAUCUGGUGUCUGCAAAUGAGCAUGAAAUAAAAUAUUAUAAUGUGAAAAAACAUAAAUUCAAGUUAGUUCAAGUCUGUAUCACCAUGCUGAAUGGUAUGUAGUGAAACUGUUGUAAUCAUAUAAUUUAUAUAGUCUGCUACUUAAAUCACUAAUUUUGCCAAUCGGUGUGGUUUAUUUAGUGUAUUGUUUGUCCAGUGACUUCAUCAUAUGCCAAUCAAGUAAUAUUGUGAUAAUGUACAAAAAAUAAAUAUUGUGAUAUUUGUACGCACUUUAACUCCAUUGUUGAACAUUAUAUGAAGUUUACAUACCAGGAUCCCACAAGAUUGCUUUUUUUUAUCUGAUCAAGAUGACUAAUGAACUUCAUUCGUUUUGUGCGAUUGACAUGUGCGGUUGGUACUAAAAUUUUGCCAUAAGAGUAAUUAUAUGUUUAAUUGUACAUGAUAUUCAUAUUUAUCAGAUGAUGAUUGGUUAAUUCAGUCUUCUUGUUGAGAUAUUUUGAAUGUAGUUUGGGUUUCGAAAGUUCUCAACUUCUCUCUUGGCAAUCUUUUGCAAAAUCUUGAACUGGUUUUAGAAUCAUGUUGUCCAAAUUUUUAUAAUUAUUUCGCAAAAAAAUAUUUUGUAUUUAACUGCUGCUCAUACAUAAGAUCACAGCGAUGCUAAAAAUCUGUUCCAACCUUUAGAUAUUUAAAUUUCUGACCAAUUAUUUAGCACUAGGUUUCUACAUCUACAGGUACAAGAAAUCUUAUGGAAGUAGGGAUAAUUUGUAUGGUGAAGGUAUAUAUUUCCUACACAAUAUUGAUAUAACCAUUUCUCAUUCCUCUGAAUUGAGAUGUAUACUUGUUUAAUAUUUUAACAUAUGAAUUUGUAAAAUUUACUGGAUGGAUUUCAGUGGACACUGAAUAUAUUUUCUUAAGCCUUUUCACUUCUUCAACAUGUUGCAACACUAAACAAAACUGAGCAUGAAAAUAAUCGAACUGUGUUAUAAUUGCUCCUGAUCAUUGUUUUUUCAGAUCAAUAUAAAUGGUCCAGGGAAGAUGAGUGUUGCAAAAUGUUUACAGUAACACACUAGCUUACGG